rnacentral:lncRNA from 1 species
GGAUGGUCUCGAUCGCCUGACUUCGUGAUCCGCCCGACCUCGUGAUCCGCCCGACCUCCUGAUCCGCCCGCCUCGGCCUCCCAAAGUACUGGGAUUACAGGCGUGAGCCACCGUGCCCAGCCCAGACAUAGUAAAAUUAGUAGACACUGGAAACUCAGAAAGGUGGGAGGGAAGUAGGUGAGGGCUGAAAAAUUACCUAAUGGGUACGAUGUUCACUAUUUGAGUGAUGGUUACACAAAAAGCCCAGACUGCACUACUACGAAAUACGUCCAUGUAACAAAACUGCACGUGUAUCCCCAAAUCUACAAAAAUAAGAAAUAUAUAAUUUUAAAAAAAUAAAUAAAACUACAAAAUGUUCUCAUGAACAACUGGGCAUAUCAUUUUACAAAGACCCUCUGUGUACCAUGCAACAUGUACCACCCACUACACGGCUUCCAUUUCCACUUGCCAAGGUCUUGAUAUUGUGAUAUCCAUGCCCAGAUAGCAUCACUGACCUCUGAUAAGGUCAGAAUACUGUCCUACCUCAUGUAUGCACAGCAUGUCUCUGGGCCAAGCUGUUCUUAUGUAUAUUCUUGUCUCUGGUUUACAUGGGGAAAUAGGCCAUGUAACAAGAAAGGUCAUGAAGUCAGAGGACAGCACACAUGAGGACCUCAAGGGCAUUCCAACCAUACAUGGUUGUCCAUUUUUAUGGCUCAUAUAUCUUUCCUACCAUCUUUGAACUCAUA